GAACAAAGUGCCAAUGGGAACAGUUAAGCCAUCUCCUGUCAAUCCAAUUUUUCAAAGAAAAGGUCAUCAUGGUACUCCUCAAAUGCACAAUGUCGCUCCAUUCAGAUCUUCCAUCCAUAAUGCAUCCAUGGGUUCAGGAGCUUUGAAUCAAAGUGCUAGAUCCUCCCCCAUCAUGUUGGCAAGACAAGGUUCCAGACCAGCAGUGUUUCAAGACUCUAAGAGAUUUUUUCUACCUGGAACACCAAAUCAACAAAGAGUUUUUCAUAGACCUGUUGGGAGAGGGCGUCCUGUUGUGAGAGUACCAAUAAGUCCUGUUCCUUUCAGGCAAUCAAUAAGAGGCCAGAGCCAUCCCCUUGUAAUGAAUGCUCAACCACCUUUUCCUCAACGGGUUCCAAUAAAACAGCCUGGAGUAUCUUCACCACAACUCUCUGUGAGACAUGUUCCAACCCCAUGUCCAUCACCUCAACUUUCAAUGAGAGCUGGUUCACCAAUGUCUGUACGAUCCCCAUCGCCGAUCCUCUCAUCCUCUAUACAGAGAAAUGCUCUGCAUAAUGAAUUAAUCAAUCGUGCCUCACUCAGAUCACAAUUUCCUUCGAGUAUCACUCCUCAGCCUCAAGUAAUAACUGAAUUUGCCCAGACAGUUCAACAAAGGUCAUCUCCUCUACUAACAAAUGCUUUACAGAACCCAAAUCUUGCUGCCGCUUCAUUCAGUUCACCUCUUCCAAGGUUUAAAUCCCCAAUGUCGCAGAUCAACCGAAAUUUAUCUCAGAGCGCUUCUCCAGCCUUAACAAAUGCAUUGCAAAAUCCACUUCUCCGUAAUGCCACUUACCACUCACCUUUACAAAUGUCUGCAUCUCCUCAUUCUAUAGUGGCACCUCAAGAGGUUCAGGUAACCAGUCAGAUUUCUUCUCCAAUGCUCUCUAAUGCAUUGCAAAACCCUUACCUACGUAAUGCAUCUCUCACUUCCCCACUGCAGAGAAGCACAUCUCCUUAUUCUCCUGCAGCUACUCAGCAGGAACCGCAAAACAUUUUGCAAUCAUCUUCAGCGC
ensembl:lncRNA